AGGAUCAUUACCGAGCUCGCGCCCCCCGGGGCCGACCUCCCACCCGUGCGAUUGACUACCGUGUUGCUUUGGCGGGCCGCCACGGCGCCGGCUCCGGCCGGAGAGCGCCCGCCAGAGGCCCCGAAACCCCGUGCUGUCCGUGUUGUCCGAGCACUAUCGAAUAGUUAAAACUUUCAACAACGGAUCUCUUGGCUCUGGCAUCGAUGAAGAACGCAGCGAAAUGCGAUAAGUAAUGUGAAUUGCAGAAUUCAGUGAAUCAUCGAAUCUUUGAACGCACAUUGCGCCCCUCGGCAUUCCGGGGGGCAUGCCUGUCCGAGCGUCAGUAGACACCCCUCCAGCCCCGCUGGGUCCUGGGCCCCGCCGUCCGACGGCGGGCCUCAAAGCGAGUGGCGGUGCCCGAAGGCCCUGAACGCAGUACAACCUCUCGUUCCGGGCGCCGACGGGUCGCCGGCCAGGUCAACCCCCCCCCCCUCACGGUUGACCUCGGAUCAGGUAGGGAUACCCGCU
rnacentral:misc_RNA from 1 species